rnacentral:rRNA from 1 species
UACGUAGGGUGCAAGCGUUAUUCGGAAUUACUGGGCGUAAAGCGUGCGUAGGCGGUUUUGUAAGUCUGUCGUGAAAUCCCCGGGCUUAACCUGGGAAUGGCGCUUGUUACUGGCAGGCUAGAGUGUGUCAGAGGGAGGUAGAAUUCCACGUGUAGCAGUGAAAUGCGUAGAGAUGUGGAGGAAUACCGAUGGCGAAGGCAGCCUCCUGGGAUAACACUGACGCUGAGGCACGAAAGCGUGGGGAGCAAACAGG